rnacentral:rRNA from 1 species
UACACUCCUGCGGGAGGCAGCAGUGGGGAAUUUUGGACAAUGGGCGAAAGCCUGAUCCAGCAAUGCCGCGUGAGUGAAGAAGGCCUUCGGGUUGUAAAGCUCUUUUGUCAGGGAAGAAACGGUGAGAGCUAAUAUCUUUUGCUAAUGACGGUACCUGAAGAAUAAGCACCGGCUAACUACGUGCCAGCAGCCGCGGUAAUACGUAGGGUGCAAGCGUUAAUCGGAAUUACUGGGCGUAAAGCGUGCGCAGGCGGUUUUGUAAGUCUGAUGUGAAAUCCCCGGGCUCAACCUGGGAAUUGCAUUGGAGACUGCAAGGCUAGAAUCUGGCAGAGGGGGGUAGAAUUCCACGUGUAGCAGUGAAAUGCGUAGAUAUGUGGAGGAACACCGAUGGCGAAGGCAGCCCCCUGGGUCAAGAUUGACGCUCAUGCACGAAAGCGUGGGGAGCAAACAGGAUUAGAUACCCUGGUAGUCCCAU